GGCGGUGAUAACCGACAUCUUCAAGUGUGGAGUUUGCUUUGGCAUGCUGAGAGAGACGGUGAUGUGCCCGUCCGGACACCCCUUCUGCAAGCCAUGCCUGGAGAGAUGGCUGGGGGGACAUAGUACAUGUCCGGCGUGCCGCCGAGGGAUGCGCGCAGCCAACAUGGUGCCGGGCAGGUUCAUUGACGACUUUCUGUCCGAGGCACUGGUGCGGUGCCCAAAUGGAGGUACAUGUACGUCGAAGUGCACAUGGCAGGGCCCGCAUAGCCGCCUAA